rnacentral:rRNA from 1 species
AUGAACGCUGGCGGCGUGCCUAAUCCAUGCAAGUCGAGCGAACAGACGAGGAGCUUGCUCCUCUGACGUUAGCGGCGGACGGGUGAGUAACACGUGGAUAACCUACCUAUAAGACUGGGAUAACUUCGGGAAACCGGAGCUAAUACCGGAUAAUAUAUUGAACCGCAUGGUUCAAUAGUGAAAGACGGUUUUGCUGUCACUUAUAGAUGGAUCCGCGCCGCAUUAGCUAGUUGGUAAGGUAACGGCUUACCAAGGCAACGAUGCGUAGCCGACCUGAGAGGGUGAUCGGCCACACUGGAACUGAGACACGGUCCAGACUCCUACGGGAGGCAGCAGUAGGGAAUCUUCCGCAAUGGGCGAAAGCCUGACGGAGCAACGCCGCGUGAGUGAUGAAGGUCUUCGGAUCGUAAAACUCUGUUAUUAGGGAAGAACAAAUGUGUAAGUAACUAUGCACGUCUUGACGGUACCUAAUCAGAAAGCCACGGCUAACCACGUG